AUGAACGCUGGCGGCGUGCCUCAUACCUGCAAGUCGAACGAAACUUCUUUAUCACCGAGUGCUUGCACUCACCGAUAAAGAGUUGAGUGGCGAACGGGUGAGUAACACGUGGGCAACCUGCCCAAAAGAGGGGGAUAACACUUGGAAACAGGUGCUAAUACCGCAUAACCAUAGUUACCGCAUGGUAACUAUGUAAAAGGUGGCUAUACUACCGCUUUUGGAUGGGCCCGCGGCGCAUUAGCUAGUUGGUAGGGUAAAGGCUUACCAAGGCAAUGAUGCGUAGCCGAAUUGAGAGGUUGAUCGGCCACAUUGGGACUGAGACACGGCCCAAACUCCUACGGGAGGCAGCAGUAGGGAAUCUUCCACAAUGGGCGAAAGCCUGAUGGAGCAACGCCGCGUGGGUGAAGAAGGUCUUCGGAUCGUAAAACCCUGUUGUUAGAGAAGAAAGUGCGUGAGAGUAACUGUUCACGUUUCGACGGUAUCUAACCAGAAAGCCACGGCUAACUACGUG
rnacentral:rRNA from 1 species